AAUCAACGCUGGCGGCGUGCCUCAGACAUGCAAGUCGAACGCGAAAGUCCCCUUCGGGGGACAAGUAGAGUGGCGCACGGGUGAGUAACACGUAGGUAAUCUACCUUCGGAUGGGGAAUAACAACCGGAAACGGUUGCUAAUACCGCAUAAUGCAGCGGCACCUAAUGGUGACAGUUGUUAAAGCGGGGGAUCGAAAGACCCCGCGUCUGAAGAGGAGCCUGCGGCGGAUUAGCUAGUUGGAAGGUAAUGGCUUACCAAGGCGACGAUCCGUAGCCGGCCUGAGAGGGCGGUCGGCCACACUGACACUGACAUACGGGUCAGACUCCUACGGGAGGCAGCAGUCGGGAAUUUUGGGCAAUGGGCGAAAGCCU
rnacentral:rRNA from 1 species